GGGAAUUAGCUCAGUUGGUAGAGCACCUGCUUUGCAAGCAGGGGGUCAUCGGUUCGAAUCCGUUAUUCUCC
rnacentral:tRNA from 1 species